rnacentral:rRNA from 1 species
UACGUAGGGUGCGAGCGUUAAUCGGAAUUACUGGGCGUAAAGCGUGCGCAGGCGGUUUUGUAAGCCAGAUGUGAAAUCCCCGGGCUUAACCUGGGAAUGGCAUUUGGGACUGCAAGGCUGGAGUGUGGCAGAGGAGACUGGAAUUCCUGGUGUAGCAGUGAAAUGCGUAGAUAUCAGGAGGAAUACCGAUGGCGAAGGCAGGUCUCUGGGCUAACACUGACGCUCAUGCACGAAAGCGUGGGGAGC